GGCGCCAGAAUCCUCGUCACACACCUCCAGCUCCCAGUGACCUUACCUCAGGCGCUCACCAGCCUCUCUGAACUUCUGCGUUCCCACCCCGCAGGGGGAUGGCAGCACCUGCUUCCUCAGGGUGGGCACUGAAGAGCGGAGGAGGUGACCGAAGCGCCUGGCACCCAACCAGGGCCCAGGACCACCACCUUCUCUGCGCCUUUGCCUAGACUUCCCCUCACAGUGACAGCCUUUGUGACAUCAGCUGUAGCUAUAAAAAUUCUUCAUGGGGCUUCUCUGGUGGUGCAGUGGUUAAGAAUCCGCCUGCCAGUGCAGGGGACAUGGGUUCGAGCCCUGGUCUGGGAAGAUCCCACAUGCCGCGGAGGAAGUAACUCCGUGCGCCACAACUACUGAGCCUGUGCUCUAGAGCCCCGUGCUCCACAACAAGAGAAGCCACCGCAAUGAGGAGCCCGUGCACCGCAACAAAGAGUAGCCCCACUCGCUGCAACUAGAGAAAGCCCGAGUGCAGCAACGAAGACCCAACGCAGCCAAAAAUAAAAAAUAAAUAAAUUAAAAAAAAA